AUGCCGCGUGUGCGAGGAAGGCUUUCGGGUUGUAAAGCACUUUUGUCAGGGAAGAAAUCCUUUGGGCUAAAACCGUAAGGGAUGACGGUACCUGAAGAAUAAGCACCGGCUAACUACGUGCCAGCAGCCGCGGUAAUACGUAGGGUGCGAGCGUUAAUCGGAAUUACUGGGCGUAAAGCGUGCGCAGGCGGUUGUGUAAGACAGGUGUGAAAUCCCCGGGCUUAACCUGGGAAUUGCAUUUGUGGCUACACGUCCAGAGUGUGUCAGAGGGAGGUGGAAUUCCACGUGUAGCAGUGAAAUGCGUAGAUAUGUGGAGGAACACCAAUGGCGAAAGACAGCCCCCUGGGAUAACAGUGACGCUCAUGC
rnacentral:rRNA from 1 species